rnacentral:rRNA from 1 species
AACGCUAGCUACAGGCUUAACACAUGCAAGUCGAGGGGAAACGACAUCGAAAGCUUGCUUUUGGUGGGCGUCGACCGGCGCACGGGUGAGUAACGCAUAUCCAACCUGCCCACCACUUGGGGAUAACCUUGCGAAAGUAAGACUAAUACCCAAUGAUAUCCCACGAAGGCAUCCGAAUGGGAUUAAAGAUUUAUCGGUGAUGGAUGGGGAUGCGUCUGAUUAGCUUGUUGGCGGGGUAACGGCCCACCAAGGCAACGAUCAGUAGGGGUUCUGAGAGGAAGGUCCCCCACAUUGGAACUGAGACACGGUCCAAACUCCUACGGGAGGCAGCAGUGAGGAAUAUUGGUCAAUGGGCGAGAGCCUGAACCAGCCAAGUAGCGUGCAGGAUGACGGCCCUAUGGGUUGUAAACUGCUUUUAUAAGGGAAUAAAGUGGGUCACGUGUGACUUUUUGCAUGUACCUUAUGAAUAAGGACCGGCUAAUUCCGUGCCAGCAGCCGCGGUAAUACGGAAGGUCCGGGCGUUAUCCGGAUUUAUUGGGUUUAAAGGGAGCGUAGGCCGGAGAUUAAGCGUGUUGUGAAAUGUAGUGGCUCAACCUCUGCACUGCAGCGCGAACUGGUCUUCUUGAGUACGCACAACGUGGGCGGAAUUCGUGGUGUAGCGGUGAAAUGCUUAGAUAUCACGAAGAACUCCGAUUG